AAAAAUUAAAAGUCUGCUGACAGAAAAAGACGUCGCUGCCCCUUUAAGGGACCAGCGACACAGACGCAGCACCUCAGUGACGCUGCAGAAAGAGACCUGAGGGAGAGAGCAGAGGAGGAACCGGAGAAGACGAGCAGUUAUUAAUGAACAGAAAAAGCAGUGAAAAAGUUGAUAAAACAGUUGAAAACCAUAACUUACUUGGUCGGGAACUGACAGGGAUUUUAUGAGAACUAAGCCACAUCGGUUUUGGUGAGUUUUGUGUUUAUUUUCAUGCAUUUUCACCGUGUUGUACUUUUUUUCUCUGGCAGAAAGCUAACACUAAAAACGUAACUGUUUACAAAGAAAUACUCCAUCAUAAACUGUUAUCCAGUUAAUAUUUUAGGUUUAUAAAGACUGUUAAUGUUAUAAAAGUGCGUGUAAGCUGUGUAAAUAGUAGAUUUGUGCAGUAAUUAGUACGGGAGACGGAGCCGUGAGAUAAGAGACCGCUCCGCUGCCAUUUUGAGUUGAAAAACACCGUAGCAGUAAAGUUACAACUCGGAAACUGUGAAGCAUUUAAUUUUGUAAUUUGAGGAUUUAAAAAGAGUUUUAUUGUGUUUAUGGCCUGUUACACAGGUCAGGUUUUUUGCACGGUUGGAAGCUCGGUCGGAGCGAGGAUCGGUCUGCCAUGUGCAGGCAUGCACAUUCACAGACGGGAUUCAAGAUGGCGAGCCAGACCCAGACCUUGAACUCAUCUUUCCCAUCACAUCGUGAGGGUGUCUCCUGC